UACCGAGUGCGGGCCCUCUGGGUCCAACCUCCCAUCCGUGUCUAUCUGUACCCUGUUGCUUCGGCGUGGCUACGGCCCGCCGAAGACUAACAUUUGAACACUGUCUGAAGUUUGCAGUCUGAGUUUUUAGUUAAACAAUAAUUAAAACUUUCAACAACGGAUCUCUUGGUUCCGGCAUCGAUGAAGAACGCAGCGAAAUGCGAUAAUUAAUGUGAAUUGCAGAAUUCAGUGAAUCAUCGAGUCUUUGAACGCACAUUGCGCCCCCUGGUAUUCCGGGGGGCAUGCCUGUCCGAGCGUCAUUGCUGCCCUCAAGCACGGCUUGUGUGUUGGGCUUCCGUCCCUGGUAACGGGGACGGGCCCAAAAGGCAGUGGCGGCACCAUGUCUGGUCCUCGAGCGUAUGGGGCUUUGUCACCCGCUCCCGUAGGUCCAGCUGGCAGCUAGCCUCGCAACCAAUCUUUUUAACCAGGUUGACCUCGGAUCAGGUAGGGAUACCCGCUGAACUUAAGCAUAUCAAUAAGCGGAGGAAAAGAAACCAACAGGGAUUGCCUCAGUAACGGCGAGUGAAGCGGCAAGAGCUCAAAUUUGAAAUCUGGCUCCUUCGGGGUCCGAGUUGUAAUUUGUAGAGGAUGCUUCGGGUGCGGCCCCCGUCUAAGUGCUCUGGAACGGG
rnacentral:sRNA from 1 species